UGGGCCUUUAGUUUUAGCCCACCUCUGCUGGGUUCACUAAAGGGGAACCGACGGCUGGGUUGAUGUGAACUCAGAGCCGGUCCCACCUUGGCUCGGCCAGGCACCCCAUCUCCCACCUGGGAAAUGGGGAGCAGUUAGGGCUGGAAUCCUGGGGAAGAGAAGUUCUUUCUCUGUUGGGCUGCUGAUGGGUGCUGAGGCCAUCCCGGGAGUGGCGGUGGAGAGCCCCCCUGAGCAGGACAGCAGCACAGAGGGCAGGCAGCCAAGCCAAGAGGCUGGGAGGGCCGAUCCCUGCUGGUGGCGUCGAGCACCCAGGCUAUCAAAAGAAUCCUGGGGCCGGGUCGGCAGCAUAGUGGUUAAGCUCCUGCACUCCUCUUCAGCGGCCCCAGAACCCACAGGACAGACUCCUGCCCGCGGUGCCCUGCUGUCUCGCCUCCUGACCCCCGGGGCUUCCCGGGUGGCCCUGCGUGGCCCUGCGAGCUCCGCCUCAGAGAACUGCAAGUAAUCAACUAUCUUCUCAAUGGCAUCGUCUCUGGGUCCGCUGGCCUUGCUGAACCGCACAUGUUCCCUUGUCACUUUCUCUGUGAAACCUGCCCUCCCAGACCCUUUGCAGACGCUUAGCCUGAACAGAGGAAGAGCAAAGGAAGUGUGCGCCCUGUCACAGCAUCUUCGACAAGAGCCCACUGUGCACCUGAAGCCAGAAGCAUCUUCUCCAGCGGAGGCCGAGCACGUCGCUCCCUGCUCCUGCUCCCCUGCUCCUUAGAAACUGACCCAGGGCCCUUGCUGUGGAACUGAGCUUAGCCUAACGAGGCAGCUCAGAGGCAGGCGCCGGCCAGCCAGCCAGCGCCCAAGCUCACAGAAGAGACGGAGAAAGCCUCAUCAGCAGAGCGUUCCGUCAUCGCAGCUGACUGCUCUCCAGGCCUGAGCUGGGGGAUAUCGAAGUUCGGAGACGCACCCAGCGGAAGUGGUCCCAGAAACAAG
rnacentral:lncRNA from 1 species